rnacentral:lncRNA from 1 species
AAGACUGUUACGCAAACCACUGAAAAUGAAUGUCAAAUUGCUCAUCCAGCACUUCCCAGCUGCAUCUCAGCUUUCCAGGAUAUAGUCCAUCAUUCUAUAUUUCAUCUCUGUGACCAGAGCCAGUCUGGGAAGCAGAAGAGACAACAUGAAAGCACUGGAAUUGGAACACCAUUAUCUGGAACUCUUUGGACCAAAAAGUCCCAAUCCUGUGCUGAACUGAUCCUUUACUGAGGAAAAGUCAGGAACCAGCAUAGUCCUUUCCCUAAGCAGCAGGGCACUGUGUUCAGAAGAGAGCUUGCAAGAGUGAUCUUUUAUUGCCGACAUCCACACGCUGUAGGUGCAGCUCUCUGCUGCCUGUCCUUGAGCAGUGUAGCUGCUCUCCAGCUGGUUAGCAUUUAUGCAGCAAUCAGCAGGAAGAACUAAGUGGAGCUGCAGUGUUCCUGUGUAGCUCAGCAGAAAAAUGUUGUGUGCUCUGCAUUGCUUUGGACUGCUCUGAUAAAUUCUAAUCGACAGGCUUCAGCAGCACAGCCAUUGCACGAGUGCUCACCAUUGCAUGGGCUGGGGAAGGAAUGAGCAGCAUGGAGUGAUAACAAUGAACAGGCAAAAAGUAUCCUGUGGAGGUGCAAAAAGAGCUCGGGCUAAAACUUGGCCAAGCCAGAAGGAAAAUGAAAGAGAAGCUUUGUGAGCCCGUUUACCCUCCCUGUGCACACCAUCCACAAGAUUGCUGUGCUGCUUCCAAGUCUGCUGAGCCAGAUAUGAAUUUACAGACGUGCUCUUCACAGAUUUGUUUCAGUUACCUAAGGUGCAGCCUACUGGAACUUGCCUACCGUCUGCCUUUGCCAGAAUAUUUUACUCCAUGUAGAAAUUAUUCUGGUACAUUUUGA